GAUGAACGCUGGCGGCGUGCCUAAUACAUGCAAGUCGAGCGAACGGAUGAGAAGCUUGCUUCUCUGAUGUUAGCGGCGGACGGGUGAGUAACACGUGGAUAACCUACCUAUAAGACUGGGAUAACUUCGGGAAACCGGAGCUAAUACCGGAUAAUAUUUUGAACCGCAUGGUUCAAAAGUGAAAGACGGUCUUGCUGUCACUUAUAGAUGGAUCCGCGCUGCAUUAGCUAGUUGGUAAGGUAACGGCUUACCAAGGCAACGAUGCAUAGCCGACCUGCGAGGGUGAUCGGCCACACUGGAACUGAGACACGGUCCAGACUCCUACGGGAGGCAGCAGUAGGGAAUCUUCCGCAAUGGGCGAAAGCCUGACGGAGCAACGCCGCGUGAGUGAUGAAGGUCUUCGGAUCGUAAAACUCUGUUAUUAGGGAAGAACAUAUGUGUAAGUAACUGUGCACAUCUUGACGGUACCUAAUCAGAAAGCCACGGCUAACUACGUG
rnacentral:rRNA from 1 species